rnacentral:lncRNA from 1 species
GUCAUAUCAAGGACCCACAGUGAUGAACAUUUGACCGCAACCCCAUUGAUCCCCUCAGGAAGUCCUUGAUUUGGAACUAAAAUGCCUCAUUUAUUUCAGAGAGACAGUGGUAUCCUAAAUUGCAUCACAAUUCAAGAACUAGCACCUUUUGUCAGGCUCAGAUGUGCAGUGGACCCUGAAAUCAGGACAGCAAUACCAUUUCCGGAGACCUUCUCCCCUACCUCACCUCGCUCAUCAACUCAUCCUUGACCGCUGGCUACGUCCCUUCCGCCUUCAAGAGAGCGAGAGUUGCACCCCUUCUGAAAAAACCUACACUCGAUC